CCCUGUCUCAAACAAAACAAAACAAAAAGUGAUGUAAAGAAAGGAGCACUGUAGCCAGAAUUCAGUGUCCUGGCAUAGUCACUAGUGUGCCGUAUGACCUUCUACACUUACCCUCCUUUGGCUCCAAUGUCCUUAUCUCUCAAAAGAAAUAGUUGGACAAACAACAUUCCAGCUGUUUUCUACUAAUAGUCUAACACCACUUACCAUCUUCUAAAGCGGGAGGGCCACCACUGCCCCUCCUCCUGCCUAGUGCUGAUCAGAUGACAGUUACAAUAGAAUCAUUCUUCUUUUGCCAGAAGUGCAAAUCAUUUCCCAAAUGUGGCCUUGGGUUUUCAGGAGCCCAGUAGUGACUUCUGUGGUCCCUGACUUGCACCCUCACCCUAUUAUUGGAGUUGUGCUUCAUUUCUCUCUGUGGAAAGAGUGAAGUAUUGGGAAAUAUGACCCUGGUCACCAAACCAACUCAGAGACAGCAAGUGCUUUGGCAAAGGAAAGGGCUGGCACAGAGAACAGAGUCGAUUUCUCAUUGUCUUCACCAAUCUUCUGAACCCGUGAAUACUUUUUGCAUGAUGAUUUGAAGCAGCCAGGAGGCCAAGACAGCGGCCAGGAGAAGCAGCAAGGAAUUGAGCCUUGUACAUUUUUCUCAAAAAAAUAAAAGAUGGGGAACCAC